ensembl:antisense Gm43701 predicted gene 43701
GGGUUCCGACGGCGGGUCCUUCCUCCAUGGCCCGCUCGGCCGCUUCCGGUGCUGAGCGAUUGCGUUACGGUCUGAGAUGCCUGCUUCCGGCGCCUCCUAAAGACGUCACGCCCCUAACAAGUAGCCAAGCCUACUAUCCACAUGCCCAGAGAGCCCGCAGUGCUUCUGGCUGGCUUGUCGGAAUUAGAGAAGAAAAACAACUUUGAGCAACAAAAUAGAGAAAGCUACAAGCUGCUUCAGUUCUCCAUCAUGUCAGUCCAUCUGGGUCAGCUGACUGGAGUCUAUCGCUGUGAACCUGAAACACAUCGCGGGGAGAACUUGCCACGGAGACAAAGAAUAUCAGCCUUUCAUAGCCCAGGAUUAAAAAAUAAUAAUAAAGAAAAAAAUACUA